rnacentral:rRNA from 1 species
CCGUACACAAAAGCGCAUGUGCUGUGAGCUCGAUGAGUAGGGCGGGACACGUGGUAUCCUGUCUGAAUAUGGGGGGACCAUCCUCCAAGGCUAAAUACUCCUGACUGACCGAUAGUGAACCAGUACCGUGAGGGAAAGGCGAAAAGAACCCCGGCGAGGGGAGUGAAAAAGAACCUGAAACCGUGUACGUACAAGCAGUGGGAGCACAGGUUUACCUGUGUGACUGCGUACCUUUUGUAUAAUGGGUCAGCGACUUAUAUUCUGUAGCAAGGUUAACCGUAUAGGGGAGCCGUAGGGAAACCGAGUCUUAACCGGGCGUUAAGUUGCAGGGUAUAGACCCGAAACCCGGUGAUCUAGCCAUGGGCAGGUUGAAGGUUGGGUAACACUAACUGGAGGACCGAACCGACUAAUGUUGAAAAAUUAGCGGAUGACCUGUGGCUGGGGGUGAAAGGCCAAUCAAACCGGGAGAUAGCUGGUUCUCCCCGAAAGCUAUUUAGGUAGCGCCUCGUGAAUUCAUCUCCGGGGGUAGAGCACUGUUUCGGCUAGGGGGCCAUCCCGGCUUACCAACCCGAUGCAAACUGCGAAUACCGGAGAAUGUUAUCACGGGAGACACACGGCGGGUGCUAACGUCCGUCGUGAAGAGGGAAACAACCCAGACCGCCAGCUAAGGUCCCAAAGUCAUGGUUAAGUGGGAAACGAUGUGGGAAGGCCCAGACAGCCAGGAUGUUGGCUUAGAAGCAGCCAUCAUUUAAAGAAAGCGUAAUAGCUCACUGGUCGAGUCGGCCUGCGCGGAAGAUGUAACGGGGCUAAACCAUGCACCGAAGCUGCGGCAGCGAACGUAUCACCCAAGACAACUUUACGGAGUUGACGAUUGACGGAGCGAAGCGACGUCAAAGCGUUCAUUAAAGUCGAGUUGGCUUAGGGAUACGUUCGUUGGGUAGGGGAGCGUUCUGUAAGCCUGUGAAGGUGUGUCGUGAGGC